CAUAUGCUAUUUAUUUAUUAGAAUUUUUGGACCUUAAAAAAAAAUCAGGACUACGUGUGUGUUUGGACCUGCUUGUUCAAAAACUCUCUCAUAGACUUAAGUUUUUGAAAAAAUAAAAUAAAAUAAAAAGGAAAAUUUCUAAUUUUUAAAGUCUUUAUGUUAAUAGUUUAUUAAAUUUCUUUUUUCCCUAAAAAUACCAGAAGUCCACUUUACAUGGCUGGAAAAAAAAAGCCAACAAAUGGUUGUUAACAUUUUCUGAAAGACGUUUGUAGUCUUUUUCUAUACUUUUUUUUUUUAUUUGUAAAAAAGAAACUGAAAAUAUUUCAGAUAAAUUAUAUGGGGCUAAUUUGAAACGAAAAUGAAAACUUAAAUUCAAAGUUAUGGUUUUACAUGGCACUUGUGCUGUCUCUUAUUUAAUUGGUUUAAAUCUUCUUAAGUUGAUGGUGAGUGAAAGUAGAAGAUUUGAAAGGAUCCCUUUGGGGCUUAUGUAAUUAAUAUUAUGUGGUGCAAUGAAGGACCAGGACAAGGACUAUUAAUCAACCAAACUCCAGUGGGACCAUUUUUGGGCCUAUGAAACUUCCUCAUUUCUAAAACCCCUUAAAUAUCCCACCCUCUUCCAUUCAUUGUGUGGUGCUGAUCAAUGUGCAAUUAUGAGAUCUUGAAGGAGCUCAGCAGGCCAUUAUUAUACCAGCAUUGACCCCUGAGUUUUCUGAUGCAAGCCUGCACCUUAUAUAGUUCCAAUCCAUCAAUUACUACCAAUUUAAUUCUCAUAUAAAAAAAAUCUUUUGUGUUAGGACUUACAUGGGAUGCUGUUCCCAAAAUUAGUUUGUGUUGAAUUGGUGCACUGACCCAUUCAUUUAUUUCAUGCAGAAAUUGAGUUGCUAUUAGUGAUGUGUUUUUGAAUAAUGAUGGUGGGUACUACAUCCACUGAUCCACGUUUUCGUUGAUACAGUCAAAUGAAUGCUUGAUUUUUAAUAUAUUGUGAUCAGGAACAGCCGCAAUUGGUUGGUCUUCUUUUUGGUCAACAAAUAUGCCAGAAGUGCUGGAUUUGCAGGUAACUGACACAGCAUGUGACUCUACCAAUCAUCCUGUCAGUCAUAUCUAACCUAGGGUUAGAAAAUCAUGCUAGCCAUGGCACACUGCCAAUAUCCAAAGGCAUGGCACACUGCACGGCCAGGAACUCACCAGUAAUCUCAUCAGUCAUGUCAAAGACCAGAGAUUUUAAAAUUACCAGACAUGAUGAUUGAUGAUGCAGAAGCAGAUCAACCUAGAGCUACACUGAUAAGGUGGCCAUCUGGAUCUUAUUUCUUUAAAGGUAUAAAUACCAAAAUUCUCUCCUCUAUUUUAUGUUUUUGAUUUUUAUAAUCUUUUAUAAUAUAAUAUUUGUCUGUCUUUUAAUUCUCAUAUUUACAUAUUUUUAUCUUUUUUGAUCCUCUAAUUGAUGGACAUUCAUCAGUUUGAGAGACCAAGAAAACAUAUUCAUUAUCUAAAAUACGAAAAUGUGUAAAUACGAGGGUUAAAAAUAUGAAU